rnacentral:piRNA from 2 species
UACCUCCAUGGCAAACCAGGUACUGUUCAGC